UUAUGGCCACAUCAUCUUGAAACACCAGUACCGGUACGAUCACUGAAGUUAAGCAAUGUCAAGCCUGGUCAGUACCUAGAUGGGUGACCACUUGAGAAUACCAGGU